UGUGAACUUUUGCGGAUAUCUAAAAGAAAAUAAAGUAGCACCUUCUUUUUUGGGGGGCUGGGGAUUGGUGAAAGGGGGGGAACAGCGUUGCCAUGGAGACCAUUCAUUGGUGGUUAGACAAGAGUGUGAGCUCUUGCCAUGCUCCCCCCAUCUUCCCCAGACUGACACACUUUUUUUGUGUUUAGUCAUAUCACAUUACAUUAUAGUGCAGUGCUGAUGCAUUAUACAGAAAAGGAUACACACAAGAAACCAAUAACUUAAAUCAUUUCAGUUUUACGUCAGAUUAGAUGUAACCUUUUCAACAACCAGUGUAUGUAGUUUGAUUUGAGGUCUGUCCAGUUGAAAAGGAGUUAAAUACAGAAUGGACUUUGAUUGCCUCAUGGCUCUCUGUUAUUUACUUCAAUGAUAGUCUGCGCAAUUCUUUUUACUGGUAUUAUUCACUUCAAUGACUGCUGAAUGAUAGUCUGCGCAAUGCUUUUUACUGGUAUUUUAAAGCAUUCAAUGCUUUUUACUGGUAUUUUCAAUUGGUGUGACACAAAGGGCUGUUUGUUGGUACUUCUUCUUUUAUUACUCCUCAUCAAAACAUGGAAGAAAAGAAAUUCACUAAACGUUCCUCCUGGACCAUGGGUUAUCCCUCUCUUGCGAGAUGUCCUCAUUGGUAUUGACCAUCACGCUAUAAAUAAGCAUCAAGAGAGGUGGCAUGAAGUCUGUGUCAGGAUUCAAGAUAGUACAGGAAGUCUUGGUAACUCAAGGGGACCACUUCCUGGAUCACCCGUGCGAUAACGAUUGCCUUCAAAGGCAAUGCAACGGGUAUAGACGGAGAAGCAACGGCACUUUUCAGUCAGCCAAAUAAAUAACUUUGGUGAUGGCAGAAGAGCCUUGGAAUUUAACAUCCUGCAGGAAUGUGUACUUCUGUCUGAGGCCAUCCAAGAGGAGAUAGGUUAAAAAUAUAUAUAUAUUUAUAUAUAGACUAGCCUAUAUUAUACAUACUGUACAUUAAUUAAAUUAACAUUAUCAGUUUCACUGGCUUGAUCACUCCUUUCAGGUGGUGCCUUUGAUCCUCAUGCCAAACUCAACAAUGCUGUGGCCAAUGUCAUUGGAUUUUUGGUGUUUGGAAAGCGCUUCAACAACAGUUCAACUGACUUUCAAAAACGUCUUAACCUCAUUGCAGAAUCUAUUUUACUUGUGCGUACACCCCUUGCUCAGCUUUACGAUAUUUGUCCAUGGCUCAUGAGGAGGUGACCAGGACCUCGUGAGACAACUACUACUCUAAGCUUGCUGCCUUUCUGAGAAAACAAUACACCAGAAAGUCAAGGAUCCCUUUCUGCACAGAGACUUCAUUGACUCCUACAUAGGGGAGAUAGAUAAGGUAAGACAAGUCAUUUGCUGGUUCAUGUGUAGGUAGAUAUUGGCCCUUCUCCUAAUAUGUAAUCUAUUUGAAGUGUGUAUCGGUAUGUCCUGUCUGUGUGUACGUAUCUGCCCCAAAUGAGACGUCCUUACUGAACAGUGAUACCAAAGUUAAUUUGAUCAUCAAUCUCUUUCACCCAGAGAAAGAAAGACUCAAGAGUUGAAACCUUGAUGUACUGCAGCCUGGACAUGUUUGAGGCUGGCACUGAAACUGUUGCCAGUACACGUGGGCGGUGGGCUCUACUCCUCAUGAUGAAGGAUCCAGAAGUGCAGAGUAGGUGCUAUGUGACGCCAACUCUGUUAGAUACAAUCUGGGAAGUGGUGAGAGAUGACGUUGUUCUGAAAUGAACUUUGUGUUGAAUUAUAAAAGAGGAAGUCCACGCAGAGAUUGACAAGAGUGGUGGCACAAUCCCGUCGGCCCUGCCUGGCAGACAGAGUCAACAUGCCCUAUAUUAACGCCCGUGCUUCAUGAGACACAGUGGGUUGGCAACAUCCUGCCGCUAAACACGCCCCCCC